CCGAGAUUCCCUCAGUAGCGGCGAGCGAAGCGGGAGGAGCCCAAACCGCGGCAACGCGGGGUAGGCAGGCGCAAUUGAGUGGAUUAGCAUCAGAAGUCCGCUGGAAAGCGGCGCCCGAGCGGGUGAGAGCCCCUUAUGAUGCGGAUUUGCGAGAGGCUUGCCAAGAGUAGCGCAGGGCACGAAGAACCCGGUGCGAAGACGGGGGGACCACCCUCCAAGGCUAAAUACGAGCCGAUGACCGAUAGCGCACAGUACCGUGAGGGAAAGGCGAAAAGAACCCAGCGAUGGGAGUGAAACAGACCUGAAACCGCGUGCAUUCAUUCUGUCGCAGGGGGCAUACAUGCCCCUGACGGCGUGCCUUUUGUUUAAUGAGCCAGCGAGUUGCUCGCCCGUGGCGAGGCUAAGGAGGAUAGUCUCCGGAGCCGCAGCGAAAGCGAGUCUGAAACGGGCGUUUCAGUCGCGGGCGGCAGACACGAAGCCUUAGUGAUCUAUCCAAGGCCAGGCCGAAGCGGGGGUGACACCCCGUGGAGGGCCGAACCGAUAUGCAUUGAAACGCGUCCGGAUGAGCUUUGGAUAGGGGUGAAAGGCCAACCAAACUGGGCGAUAGCUUGUUCUCUCCGAAAAAUAUUUAGGUAUUGCGUGCAGCGAUGCUUGCCGGGGGUAGAGCACCGGAUGGACUAGGGGGCGCACCCGCCUACCAAACCCAACCGAACUCCGAAUACCGCGCAAGUUCAGCUGCGCAGGCAGCCCGCGGGCGAUAAGGUCAGCGGACGAAAGGGGAACAACCCGGACCACCGGCUAAGCGCCCCAUAGAGCGCGCUAAGUGAGAAAGGAAGUGGCGGGGCGGUGACAGCCAGGAGGUUGGCUUAGAAGCAGCCAUCCUUUAAAGAAAGCGUAACAGCUCACUGGUCGACGCCCUGCCGCGCCCAAAAUUAUCGGGGCUAAGCGCGCCGCCGAAGCCGUGGAUUCCAUAGCGAUAUGGAGUGGUAGGAGAGCGUCCCGUAUGCCUGGGAAGGCGGCAGGCGAUUGCCGCUGGAGGCAUCGGGAAUGAGAAUGCUGGCAUGAGUAUGCGAAAACGCGGGUGGAAAGCCCGCGCACCGAUAGCCCGAGGGUUCCCGGGGAAGGUUAGUCCGCCCGGGGUUAGCCGGUCCCUAAGGCGAAGCCGAGAGGCGCGACCGAUGGGAAGGGGGCAAAUAUUCCCCCGCCGGCAUGGAAGCGUUCGACCGAUGCGGCGACGCGCGGGUCGGGGCAUAGCGGCUGAUGGAUAUGCCGCGGAAGCAGCGCAGGGAGCCGGGGCGGCAAAUCCCCCCGGCGCAUGCCCGAGGCUGCCGACCGGGGUAGGGCUUCGGCCCGAGCCCGAGCUGCCCGUGCCCGCGCCAGGAAAACCCGCUAAGGGAGCUUGCGUGUCGACCGUACCCUAAACCGACACAGGUGGGCUGGGCGAGAAGCCCGAGGUGCUUGAGACAACCCGGGAGAAGGAACUCGGCAAAAUAGCCCCGUAACUUAGGGAUAAGGGGCGCCCCCAGCCGUGAGCGGGAACACCGCGGAGCGGCAGGGGGCCGCAGUGAAAUGGCAGGAGCGACUGUUUACCAAAAACACAGGGCCAUGCGAACCAGCAAUGGGAAGUAUAUGGUCUGACACGUGCCCGGUGCCGGAAGGUUAACGGGAGGCGUCAGGGGGCAACCCCGAAGCGGCGAACCGAAGCCCCGGUAAACGGCGGCCGUAACUAUAACGGUCCUAAGGUAGCGAAAUUCCUUGUCGGGUAAGUUCCGACCUGCACGAAUCGUGUAACGACUCCUGCGCUGUCUCCUCCCGAGACUCAGCGAAAUUGCAGUG
rnacentral:rRNA from 1 species